rnacentral:rRNA from 1 species
UAGGGAAUAUUGCACAAUGGGCGAAAGCCUGAUGCAGCGAUACCGCGUGAGUGAGGAAGGCCUUCGGGUUGUAAAGCUCUGUCAGGGUGGAAAAACGGCGGUAGGGUGAACAAUCCUAUCGAUUGAUGGUACAUCCAGAGGAAGCACCGGCUAACUUCGUGCCAGCAGCCGCGGUAAUACGAAGGGUGCAAGCGUUGUUCGGAUUUAUUGGGCGUAAAGCGCGCGCAGGCGGGCGAUUAAGUCAGAUGUGAAAUCUCGGGGCUCAACCUCGAAACUGCGUCUGAAACUGGUCGUCUAGAAUAUCGGAGAGGGAGGCGGAAUUUCGCAUGUAGGGGUAAAAUCCGUAGAGAUGCGAAGGAACACCAGAGGCUAACGCGGCCUCCUGGACGAUUAUUGACGCUGAGGCGCGAAAGCGUGGGGAUCAAACAGG